AGAAAGCUUAUAUUUUAGAAUGCUCUUUCUUUGUUCUGUCAUACCGCAUAAGCAGGCGGGGGAACUUAGUAGCAGCUGCUUAACGAAGAAAUAAGCGAAGAAGGUGACCUGCACAAUAUUGCUGCUUCAACCACUUUUUGCAGAUCAAGGUUUAUUCUUACAGGUUUCCUUUUUACGCGUAUGUGAUAUGUAUAACCAGAAAAGGAUGAAAGGAAGCAAGCUGCUGACUAUCGUUUUAAUGAGCUCUCAUUUAACAACGUUGGAAUGUAUCUGGAAAGUUCCAGGAAAGACAUACGGCAUCAGAAAGUUUUUAAGCACAUCACUUCCCAUAUGGACAUUCAACACAACCAAAGGCGGGAAAUCCCGAUGUUACGUAGACAUAAUGGAAUAUGUGGACAAAGGUUCAAUAACAUACAAUCACCUAUGUUACGAAGGACCCAAAAGAAAGCAUGUCAAAAUGGUGGGGACAUUUGAUAGAGAUAAAAAAAGCAAAAUAACCGUCAGACCAAAAGAUGGAGCAUUAAAUAUGACAUAUGAAAUCGUCUAUUUAAAUGGGAAAUACAAGUGCGCUGUGCUCAGGAUCACGUUGCCAUUACUUGGGAAUCGGCAUUUGUACGACAUGCGUGUUUGGAACUCUUCCGUUAACUCCCACGGAGUAAGGAACUGUAUUACAAAAUUUAGCCAACUCGAACACAAAGGACAUGGUAUUUAUGAUGCCUCCUGCCAGCAUAUACUUCAUAAUGGCAAUGGAAGACCGCAACUGCACAUGCCUAAUGGAAAACCGACGCGUCAAAAGUUAUAAAUGAUGAAAAACACAACAUACAACGGUACUGAUAUAGUGUUAUACAAAUGUACCAUUGGUAUGAGCACACGGCCUUGUUUAGCGUGUAUGUGUGAUGUGUUGGCAAAUAAAGGACACAUAAAAUAUC